UACGUAGGGGGCAAGCGUUGUCCGGAAUCAUUGGGCGUAAAGCGCGUGUAGGCGGCCAGAAAAGUCCGCUGUGAAAACUCGAGGCUCAACUUCGAGCUGUCGGUGGAAACUUUCUGGCUAGAGUCCGGAAGAGGAGAGUGGAAUUCCUGGUGUAGCGGUGAAAUGCGCAGAUAUCAGGAAGAACACCUAUGGCGAAGGCAGCACUCUGGGACGGUACUGACGCUGAGACGCGAAAGCGUGGGGAGCGAACGGG
rnacentral:rRNA from 1 species